UAAUUGCUCAUUCUGCCAGGUUCAGAACUCAAAUCUCUAUCUCAUACUAGGAGCCAUACCGACUCUUUCCUUCUGUUUUUUACGGGAUGUGCUACCUAUUCAGUAGUAAUUUAUAGGAGGUUCGGCAAUUGGCACAGUGUGUGAAUCUAUGCCCCUCUCUUCUUUUCAUUCUAUCUAUUAAGCCUUAUUACCUGACGAAAUUUCUCCCUAGAAGGUGAUGUAUAUGCUAGACCAUGCAUUUUUAAAAAAUUCUAUGUUACAUUGGAUAUGGUUGAUGCCUAAGUGUCAAGUAUCAGUUGGUCGACAUUUGUAUUGGCGUACAUGCUAAAUGCAGAUACUUGUUCAUAUGACAGUAGAUACUAUGUUUUUAAUCCUUGAAUGAUGAUUAAGCCCUUUUUGGAUUGUAUACUUUCGUUGCUGAUCUUCCUUUGAUACAUCAUGUUCACGUCUUCGUGACCAAUUCUUAAACUAAAGUUACGUAGUUUGGCGAUGGGCUUCCUAACUGUGAUAUCAUUGUCCAACAUGUUCACCCUUUAAAUAGACCUAAACAGUGACAUCCAAUUUAAGCAUGGCUUUUAAGACUUUGUACCUUUCUUAUAGGUGACUGGCAUAACAAAUCAAUAACUUGAGAUACAUUUCACAAGCUUAGUCCCAUAGGUUGUAACAGAUAAUGUGCUAAUGUCCAGCAUGAUGAGUUUCUAUGAGCACUAGCUGUGCUGAGUUCAUGUAUGAGGGGCACCCUCCUCGAGAUCGGCAUGUCCUACUCUAGGGCCUCCAGUGUGCAGCUCCUUGGAAAGGUUGGUUACUGACUGCACUUGUUUGUGAAUACUUGGAGUGACCACAACUAAGUCACACAAUGAAACUUUACUUUCCAGAGUGUAACCUGCCGGACUUCUGAUAGAAUGAACUGAAAGACUUCUCUAACAAAAGUGAAGCUGAGGGGAGCAAGAGUGCUAAAAGUAGUCCAAUGUUUUUAGAUGUUCUCGAAUGUUAUCUGAAAUAUGAGGAGGAAUCCAAUGGGAAGCGGUGCAGAUCGACCAAGCGCGGUGGCACGAAGGACAACCCGAGAAUGGUGGAAAGAAGCAGGGGAAGGACAACGCAACGAAGCCCCCCUAGCUGCCCAAGGACUACAUCCAUGUCUGGGCAAGGCGUGGCGAGCAAGGCAUGGCGAGGCGAUGGACUGUCAUAACCUCGUGGAGAGGGCUAAGCAGUUGAAGAAUGUGAAUGAACACAAAUGUCAAAUCUAUGGUGACACUGUCGGGUUCUUAGCAACAGGCGAUAUUUUUUUGCGUGCAACGAAUGUGCCUUCCCUGUGUGUCGGACACGCUAUGAGUAUGAGCGCAAAGAGGGGAAUCAAUGUUGUCCUCAAUGCAAAACUAGAUACAAGAGGCACAAAGGAAGCACUCAAGUUUGGGGAGAUGAGGAGGAUGGAGUUGAUUUGGACAAUGAAUUAAACUAUACAGUAUACACAAGGCAAUGUCCAAGGGCCUGUGUUGCAGCUGUGGGGAUAAGGGGAGAUGUUGACAUCUCUUCGUAUUCUCGACAUGAACCCCAUCACUAAAUUCCACGUCUAACAACUGGACAACAGAAUUAAUUAUACUGUUGAAGGUUGUUCUUCCACUUUAGCCAUAUAGUGUGAAGCUUUAAUGGAACCAACUGGUUCACUGCCUCACUGGUGGAGUUGUAGUCCAAUGUUCUUGGUUGCUUGUAGAUGAUGAAGUCCAUAUACAAGAAAAGUUGGGUGCUCCCAUCUAUUACCAGAUACAUCACUGGUUGCACUGUACCUUUACCCUUUCUUGAACACUGUCUACAAAACAAGAGAGUAUGAGUUCUUGAAGCUUACCAGCCUGGGUGUGAUCGAUGCUCUUGUGAAGGUAAGAAAUUUAAGACAACUAAGAAGGGCUAUAGAUUUCUAUUGGAGUGUCGGGAGGUGUGUAGGUUAUCAAUUUGGAAUUUUGGAUACAUAUUCCAGUCUUGCUGAUUAAAUAAUCUAACUGAGAUUUUAAAUCCUAUGCAUCCCUAUGUAAACAUCAAUAGUUGUUUGAAGAUGUGACAGUGAUGUAUUUUGAUGAAGGCUUGAAAUUCAUUUGUUUUUCUUUUAUAGCAGAUAUAUUUUUAAAAAUAAAGCUCAACCUUUUACCUGGGAAUAUAUAUAGUUCGAUGAUCAUGAAGUCAGUUGCGUUUCUGCUGAGUUAUGAAAUGAUUCCUUUGUGUCUGUGUGCUAUUAAUAUGAGCAAUGAGCUUUCGAAAUGGUAUUUACCAACCUACCCGACCAUUAAUGAAAACACAAUUAAUCUUUUAUGUUUUCUCUAUGCCGACUACUCAAUUAGUGCGCUCCUUUCUUGUUCUAUUCUCCAUAUAUCGUGAUUGCUAUUUGAGAUAUCAAGCUAUUUCAGUGAUCAGAACUGGAGAUGAUCAAGUGGUGAGCUAUUAACUUGCUCUAAUGUCAUGAUUGGAGUUAGUUAUUCUCCUAUGAUUCCUAAGUCUUAAGCCUCUAAUGAUCCUAUCUUUAUCCUUGUGCAUCAUAUUCUGAGCAGCAAUAUACUAAACAAUAAGUGCCAUUAUUUCUCUUUGAAAAUGUUUAUCCUAAUUUAUAUGCUUGAGCUUGGGUCAGGAAUUAUAGUGGUCAGUUUAGAUAUCUAUGGAUUUUUGACAUCUCCCUUCGUUUUUAUUUAGAUAUCAUAUUUGUCUUAGUGCACAGACAAGGAUGAGAUUAACGCUGAGUUAAUCCUUGUUUUUUCUGCUCCGUGCAAUUGAUGCUGCAUCAUACUCAGUACUCACGCUCGCAUGCUCACCUGCAUGCAGAUUUAAUUUUUCGUGGAAGGAACAGAGGGAGUAUUAGUCAAUAAACAGCAAAUUUAUAGACAUUUAUAUUUUCUUGGCUCCUGGACUAGAGUUUUAAUGUUGCAUUUAGUUUAUGGGGUACCUGCUUUUUCUCUAACUUUAACCUGAUUGUAUGCUACCUUCCUGAGGUAGGCUGUCUCCAAUAGUGGAGUCUCAAACAGGAGACCCAUACGCCGUAUGCGUCUUAAUGGGUCUGCUGAAAUGGGGACCCAAAUUGUUGGUUCUCCAACAAACCAUCUAAAAUGGGCCUCCAUCAACCGUUUUAGCAAGAAAAGGCGGGAAGCAAUCAUCCCAAUCUUCAGUUCCCGCUUCUUGCUGCCCAGAACCAAGACCUCCCGCUUCCUGUUGCCCACGUCGCCGGUCAGCCUGCUCGGCCACUCGUCCAGCAGAGCUGGAAGGCAUCUUCAUUUUCUCCCAUUCGCUUCAAGGCAAGUUUCAUUUUCUUCUCUCCCUGACAGGAAUCCUAUUCCUUUUUUCGUUUUUACAGUCCGUAGGUAAAUAUUGCCCCCAAGCUGCUUCUUUUCUUCGUUUUUACACCAUGGUGAAACUAUUUCUAUUUACUACUAAUUUGAGUUCGAUUCUUGGUGUGAAUCUGCUGCAACUAUUGCCUGAUUGACCAAACUACUCAAAUUAAUCUGAUUUUUUCAUGCAGCCAUGGCCUUUAAACCAAAGGGAAUCUUUACUUCCCGACCAAGAUCUAGCCCUGGUAUCAGAUCUUUUGCCCCCUCAAGUGUCUUCGAGAGAAUACCUCUGUACAGUAUGGAGGUGAGGGUGUCAGGUGUGAUGUAGAUCCCUCAUCUGUUUAUAAUGUGUUCAGAAGGAUGCAGGGUGUGUGAUCUUGUGUGACCUGAAAAUCAGGUAGAAUCCACAGCUUUCCAUCUAUAUUGACAUGUUUCUCUUUCACAUUUCAUUACUUAAGAAUUCUACUUUUUUCAGGUUCCUGAUACUGUGUAUUUGUAAUCUUGCUGAGUUUUUUUUGGUCAUGCUAGCACCUUGUGUCACACAUUGAAUAUAAUAUCACCUGCUACAGAGAAUGGUAAACUUUUUCAUACGUGUUCUCGCACUGAAAAUCAUCAAGGUUGGUCACAUGUCUGAAGAAUGAUUAUGACAAGUCUUUACCACUUUGAUCAUAAUUAUAUUAAGCAAACAUCAGGACUCAUGAUGACAAUGAAGGAUGUGAUGAGUUUGUGUCUGUUAACCAUAUAAGGUUGCACGUUAAGCAUGCCCCUGACUUGCCGGACGAGCAGCAAGACUUUGGGACCUAGAUUGGCUAAGGCACUAAGAAUAGAAUAGCUUUUCAAGAAAAGAGAGACAACAACUAACACUGUACUAUGUAGUGGUGAAAUAGCUAGAUUAAGAUAAUAAAAUUUAUAUAUAGAUAGGAUCAUAAAUGGAUUACGAAACAUUUUUAUC